UACGAAGGGGGCUAGCGUUGUUCGGAAUUACUGGGCGUAAAGCGUGCGCAGGCGGCUUCUCAAGUCAGGGGUGAAAGCCCAGAGCUCAACUCUGGAAUUGCCUUUGAGACUGAGUGGCUUGAGUACGGGAGAGGUGAGUGGAAUUCCCAGUGUAGAGGUGAAAUUCGUAGAUAUUCGCAAGAACACCAGUGGCGAAGGCGGCUCACUGGCCCGGUACUGACGCUGAGGUGCGAAAGCGUGGGGAGCAAACAGG
rnacentral:rRNA from 1 species